rnacentral:lncRNA from 1 species
AAAAAAAAAAGGAAGACAUGGAAGUAAGUUUUAAAAGGCUAAAUUGGAUAUUAGGGUGUUCCAUUUUCCGCGAGGCAAGUCAUAAAACGCCGACACAGAACAAUAAAAUUAUACAAAAUGAAUGAAACACAAAAAUGCAGAAAAUUAGCUGUAAACCUAUUGAAAAUCCAUAAUGAAACAAUUUAAUGAAUAAAAGUCUAAACUCAUAAACAAAUGAAAAAUAGAAUGAAUUAGCAAAUAAUAAUCAAAUAACAAGAAUUCACAAUUAAAACUAGAAAAGAACUAAUUUAAUACACAAUGAAUAAUCACAAAUAAAUAACUCUAAGUUAGUAUAAAAGGAUUUGAAACAGAGACUACUAGCAAUCAAAUUCAGAAUCCACCCCAUUUGUGAAGACAAAUUCAACCUACAUGAUAAAUAUGCUGCUUUGCACUCGCCCAAAUCCCCUACUUGCAAAGGAUCGACCUGUUUACUUAUCUAAUAAACAAUAACCAUUUCCCCCAAUCCUAUCAUUGAUUUUGAUUUUUUAAAAUUUUUUAAUUUUUACAAUUUCGUACUAAAAAUAAUGAUAAUUUAAAAGAUCUAAUAGUUUUUUUUUACAACUGUUUCCAUGGCUUUUUCACACUUUGAAAACAUUGUAUGACAACUUCAUUAUCAAUUUCAAGAGCCAAUCUAUUACACCAUAUAUAACCAAGCUAUUACUAUUUCUAAUGUCCCCGACAAAUAUAGCAUUUGGGGAGUUAAAUAUGGCCCAUAUUGCUUGACCAUCAUUAUAAUUCACAGACUACUCAAAUCCUUCCACCGUUCUCAUUACUUGACGUCUCCUUCUCCUUUGCUUUCCAAUGCUUAUUAUAAUUCUUAUUCCUUGAAUUACCGAAUAUAAUGAAUUCAAGGAUAAUCCUCUUACACUACGAUAUAUUUUAAAACUAUUUUAUGUAGAACAGGAAGCUUGCAAAGCCAGAGCAUCAUUUUCAUGACUCUACUGGAGUCUAAUUCUAUAGAUUCAAUCCCUCAACCUCCUAUCCAUUUUCCAAAAGGCACUUACUCUUCCCGAAUCUUAACUAUGCAAAUCAGCCCUCAAAUUGACCCUCAAGCUUCAAUUUUAUCAACCCAAAUAAGAAAACUUAGCUCUGAACUCUGAAUCGAGAACCAGGGGUGGACCCAACUGGGGUGAGUGGGAUCUAGAGGGUGCAACUGCCCCCACUGGAUUUUGGUCAUGGGUAUUUCACCAGGUGACAUGUUUUCAAUUUGGCACCUGUAAAUUAUGUCUUAACACCUUUAAAUUGUACCACUACAAUAUCCAAAAUUCCUAAAAUUCUUACAAUUGACAUGUGCAUCUGUAAACGGUAAACCUCAAAGUAAUAUUAAUCAAAUGAGUUCCGUCCGUCUAAAAGUAAUCUUACAAUUGAGAUGUGCACCAGUAAACCUCCAAUGAGUCAGGUUUGUUUUUGUCUUUCUACUAAUCUUAAUCUCAAAAGUAAAGAAAUGUUCAAGUUUUAUACCUAUCCUAUUCUCCAACAACAAAGUGUCAAAAACCCCUAUGUGCUUUCUUUGAGUUACAGUUGAAAGCAUGAGAAAAGGUGGAAAACAAAUACUACCUAGUGCCCGUGGCCAAUAUGGCAGUACCCACUUGAUGUUCAAGUUUUAUCCCUAUACUAUUCUCCAACAACAAAUUAUCAAAAACCUCUGUGCUUUCUUUGAGUUACAUUUGAAAGCAUGAGGAAAAAGGGAAAACAAAUACAACCCAAUACCAGUGGCCAAUACAGCAGUACCCAGAAACUCCAUCUUAUCAUCAAUAAUAAAGGCAAAUUUCAAUAAAACAGCCCUAUUCAAUCCACUUCAUCUGAGAAAUUCUCCGAUGCAAUAAAGAGAAGAAUGAAUACAUAGCAAUCAGAUUUUAUACCGGUAGGCAGGCAGGCAGUGGCAGUGGCAGUGGCAGUGGCAGUGGCGUGGCACUAGGGCCGGUCCUGUGAUUGUCGGACCCCAAGACAAAGUCAAUAAAUUGAGUCUCCGGCGAAAUCAACGUAAAUACAAAAUUUAACGGUAUAUUAUACGACCUAUUGCUAACUUAAACUAACAUUAAAACAACAACCAAAUAUAUUAUAGAAAAUAUUUAUAUUAUAAAAUAACAAAACUAACAAUGUUUCGAACAAUUAGAUAAAUAUUAUUCGCCUUGCUGUUUUAAACGCAAAAACAUCAAUAAAAUCUGAAUAAUUUAGCUGCUCAACCAAUAACCAAUCAUAUAAGCCGACAAGGCUUCAAACGUUUUCAAUCUCUUCAAUAGUAAGUUAGGGCAAGCCAUUGUUUACCAGAGAAGUGGAUUUUCCGACGAAAAUUGUGGUAUUACACCUUUGAGAAUUUCACCAUCACAACUUACGAGUUUGAAAAAAAAAUUUAAAUAAAAUUAAAGAUUUUAAUUAUAGAGUGAAGGAACGUGUGUGCCAAGUGUGGAAGUGCAAAUUAAGAAAUCGGCAUAAUUGACUAAAGAUUUAUACACUACUUAAGAUCCUUUUAUAUUUGUGUUGUGUCACAAAAUAGAUUGUGCUCUUUAUUUCUAAAUAGUCAUUAUGAUACUUUAACUUACACAUUAUCAAAUUUAAGGAAAAAUGUAAAAUUAAAUUUAGGGCAUUGCCACAUUGUCGCUUUGUAAGAAGUUAUCCAAAUCAAUUCCUUCAAUUAGUUAUCAAAUUCAUUAACUUGAAAGGGCCUGAAAAGUGUAAAAGUUAUCCAAAUCAAUUUCUGGCUAGACUCUGGCUUCUGCUAUAAUUUUAAGGGCCUGAAAAGUGAAAGCUGAAAAUGUUAACUUGGAUAGGGACCCAGACCCAGCUGAAAAUGUUAAGCUUCUGCUUGCCGUGUAAGUGUAACCGACUAACCGUAAUAGACUAAUAGGAACCAAAGCCUUUUAUCAACCAAAAAUAAAAUCUAUGAAAUUCUACAAAUGUAACAAUCACAUUUACAUAUAAUAAAGACAACCCAGUUGAUAAAAUUCAUCAAAUCAAUGGGAAAAUUUUAG